UACAGAGGGUGCAAGCGUUGUUCGGAAUCAUUGGGCGUAAAGCGCGCGUAGGCGGUUAUGCAAGUCUGACGUGAAAGCCCGGGGCUCAACCCCGGAAGUGCAUCGGAAACUAUAUAACUAGAGUCCCGGAGAGGAUGGUGGAAUUCCAGGUGUAGAGGUGAAAUUCGUAGAUAUCUGGAGGAACAUCAGUGGCGAAGGCGGCCAUCUGGACGGUGACUGACGCUGAGGUGCGAAAGCGUGGGGAGCGAAC
rnacentral:rRNA from 1 species